UACAGAGGUCCCGAGCGUUGUUCGGAUUCAUUGGGCGUAAAGGGUGCGUAGGCGGCGGGGUAAGUCUGAUGUGAAAUCCCGGGGCUCAACCCCGGAACUGCAUUGGAUACUGCCUUGCUAGAGUACUGGAGAGGAAACUGGAAUUUACGGUGUAGCAGUGAAAUGCGUAGAGAUCGUAAGGAAGACCAGUGGCGAAGGCGAGUUUCUGGACAGUAACUGACGCUGAGGCGCGAAGGCCAGGGGAGCAAACGGG
rnacentral:rRNA from 1 species